GUCGAACGGGAAAUAUUUCAUUGAGACUUCGGUGGAUUUGAUCUAUUUCUAGUGGCGGACGGGUGAGUAACGCGUGGGUAACCUGCCUUAUACAGGGGGAUAACAGUCAGAAAUGGCUGCUAAUACCGCAUAAGCGCACAGAGCUGCAUGGCUCAGUGUGAAAAACUCCGGUGGUAUAAGAUGGACCCGCGUUGGAUUAGCUUGUUGGUGGGGUAACGGCCCACCAAGGCGACGAUCCAUAGCCGGCCUGAGAGGGUGAACGGCCACAUUGGGACUGAGACACGGCCCAGACUCCUACGGGAGGCAGCAGUGGGGAAUAUUGCACAAUGGGGGAAACCCUGAUGCAGCGACGCCGCGUGAAGGAAGAAGUAUCUCGGUAUGUAAACUUCUAUCAGCAGGGAAGAUAGUGACGGUACCUGACUAAGAAGCCCCGGCUAACUACGUGCCAGCAGCCGCGGUAAUACGUAGGGGGCAAGCGUUAUCCGGAUUUACUGGGUGUAAAGGGAGCGUAGACGGUGUGGCAAGUCUGAUGUGAAAGGCAUGGGUUCAAC
rnacentral:rRNA from 1 species